rnacentral:lncRNA from 1 species
GGCAAAGGCACCCUGGGCGUGGAUGAGUGACUCCCAUCCAUCAGCGGUGCCGGCCGCAUGGCGGGACAGCAGUGCAGCUUCAGUGGUCAAAGCCUCAGUUUCCUCACCUGAACUGGACCACCCUGAAGAUGAAGAUGGAAGAAUGGAGGCGAAGAUACCCAGCAUGGUCCUGGGCACAUGGGAGGAGCUGCUAUUCUGCAGUUGCAUCUCCCAGCAACCCAGAGAGGCCACAGAAGCCAGGCACUGGUGUCCCUGAGGGCUUCUGCUGUGAUGUAGGGGCUUCUAGCACUGGUGGGGUAGGAGACCUUUGGAGCCUUUUUAUC